AUUGAACGCUGGCGGCAUGCUUUACACAUGCAAGUCGAACGGCAGCGCGGGCUUCGGCCUGGCGGCGAGUGGCGAACGGGUGAGUAAUACAUCGGAACGUGCCCAGCAGUGGGGGAUAGCUCGGCGAAAGCCGGAUUAAUACCGCAUACGACCUGAGGGUGAAAGCGGGGGAUCUUCGGACCUCGUGCUCUUGGAGCGGCCGAUGGCAGAUUAGCUAGUUGGUGGGGUAAAGGCCUACCAAGGCGACGAUCUGUAGCUGGUCUGAGAGGACGACCAGCCACACUGGGACUGGGACACGGCCCAGACUCCUACGGGAGGCAGCAGUGGGGAAUUUUGGACAAUGGGCGAAAGCCUGAUCCAGCAAUGCCGCGUGUGUGAUGAAGGCCUUCGGGUUGUAAAGCACUUUUGGCGGGAACGAAAAGGACUGUGCCAAUACCACGGUUCGAUGACGGUACCCGCAGAAUAAGCACCGGCUAACUACGUG
rnacentral:rRNA from 1 species